CCCACCCUUCCUCCCCUCUCCCUCAAUCGGCUUUACGCAUGUUUAUGUAUGAAUGGACAUAUAGCCUAUUCCUUUUUUUUCCACGGUACUGAGUGUGUGCGUGUGUGUGGUCGUUGUGUGCCUGAAUGAGGCGAGUCACCGCACAUUGUUCGACCCCGUUUCCAUUCGUUAUUUUUUGAUUAUUUCGCUAUUGUUUCGUCACCCCGCCCCCGCCCUCGCUUGCAUCCUUCUUCGCGAUUGUCACACCACAUCAGCAGCAUCACCAUCGCCGCACUGCACCCUCUCGUGGUCGUCUCAGGUGGCCUUUUCGUGUGCCUUUCCCUCUUCCUUUUUUUUUCCUGCUGUUGUCGUCGUCCUUUUUUGUUUCGCGCGGACUUCCUUCCCUUUCCUGCGUGCCCACUGCCCCCCCCCUGCCUCCUCCCACCAAAGAAAAGAGGGAAAAAACGCACCCGGAAAGCGCUGAACAGGCAUCCAUGAAGUCGUGUGUCGCUCUCCCUUUGGCGGCGUUGCUGGUGCUGCUCACGCUGAGCGGCAUUGCAGAGGUGGCCCAGGCGCAGGGUCUACCCGGUCUGCUGGCGCUGCAGAUGAAGGGGUACAUGUCUUACGGCGCCAGUUCUCUUUCAAGCUCUGGCAUAGAAGUCACGUACUUUACGACGGAGGAAGUGUGCUUCGACGCUGGUGGCGUCCCGGCCAGCGACGCGAACACUCUGUUGAGCAACGAGGUCGCGUAUUGGAUGACUGUCAACGGUGGCGGAAAGGACAGCACUAUCUACACUGGCUCCAGCGCGGCGCCGUCCCUGCCCGGCACGAACUGUGCAGAGCUCGUCCCGGGAGCUACGGUACCGAACAGCGACAACUGUUACUACCGCUGGCGCUACGGCUUCUACGACAUGUACUCAUACAAUGGCGAGCCCGGUACGGCGUACUGGAUCGGCCUCUACCGGCGGAAAACCGGACCCAGCCAGAUUCUCAAUCAGUUCCAGCAGUUCACCUGGAACCCGGAUCACCCGGCCGACAAACCGUACCCGCGUGGGUACUUUGGCGGCGCCGCCAGCUACGAUACCGUGACCAACGGGCUCCUCCGCAUGGACGCGCCGCUGCUGCCGAGGAACAAUGACCCGUACCCGACAGGAAAGUACAUGAUGGUAUGUGAGUACCAGCUCUAUCCGGUGCGUCCCCCCUUCACCACCCGCAUGCCGCAGCCGCAGUUCGUGAAUGGCUUCAAAACCCUCACGUGGGCUCAGUCGCACUGGUGGCUCAUCUUCCUGAUCGUCGCUGUCAUCGUCCUGGUCAUCCUCUUCGUCAUUGUCAUCUACUGCUCCUGCACCUCAAUAAAGCCGAAGGAGGAACUGCCAGUGUUCCAGAUGGUCAUACGCGAGCGCGUCGGCAAGGCGUACGUGGUCAGCGACGAGCCGCCCAAAAUGACACAGCAGCCGUAUGCCGCACCGGGUUUGGCGCCGCAGCAGCACAUGCUGUCGCCCGAGCAGGAAGUGCAGCGUCGCCGGAUGCGCUACGGUCGCGGCUUUAAUCCGAACCAGCCGGGAGAUCCGGAGGACACGACCAUGGGUGCGACUGGCAUCUACAGCGUUGGAGAGCGCCGCCAGUACGCAGACGGCAUACUGUCAGAGAACUCCGUGGACAACCUCAUCCAGAGGAAGUUUGACAUGGGCGAGAGUACCCUUUCGCCAGAAGGACCGCAAUCAGGUACGGAGGAGCAGAAUGACAAAGAAGGUACCUACCAGGAGCCCAGUGCUGUUCUGUUGACGCGUCGCAGCAGCCGUCGCAGCCGUGGCCGCAGCAUUUCGCAGGCCUUUAGUGAUGUUGAGAUGCCGCAGGCUGGCGAGAUUAAUGAGAACGAUGUGAACCUGUAAGGGAGCGAGGAAAAGAAAAAGAAGACACACACGCAAUGAGCGCAUGCGACUUCUUCAAUUUUUUUUAUGUUCUGUUUCUUUUCCCCUCUACACCCCUCCCCGCACUCCCCAUCCUAUUCCUUUCGAUGGACUCUAGAGGGAGAUGGCGGGAAGGGGGAGUGUGGGUGCGUGGGUGUGCGCAUGUAUGUGUCUUGACCAGCGCUUGUUUUCUUUCUUUACACCCACCCCCUUUCGAAAACCCCUGCUGCUGUGCACAUCCUUUUUUUUUUCGUUCGUUUUCCGGUGAGACUGCAUCCAAACACCCGCACGCGCGCUCUCUGCCCCCCCCCCAACCCCCACCCUUCGCGCUGUCCAUCGGAUUUUCUUCGAUAAACCCGUUUUAUUUUCCACACCUGCACGGCGCUCGACCCUUGUGAGCCUUACAUCCUCUCGACGAGGGAAAGAGGGAAGGGGGGAGUGAGGGCGGUGACGGCGGAGUUUUCUUUUUGUUCUUCGCGUGAUUCCACGGAUCCAUGAACGAGUUCAAGAAAACGAAGGACGCAGAGGUCCAUCAACAAGCGCCCUUAUACUACUUCUGUGCUCGCCAUGAAGCGUAUUGCAGUUUGUCCUUUUUUUUUUCUGUUUCUCAUUAUUCUGUGCGGAAGCGUUUUCCUCUUUGUCUCGCUCUUGCCACCCGCUUCCCUCCUUCCUCUCGCCCCUCCCCUCGCCCCACCGCUUGUUCUCCUUCGGGCUUCGUAGCUCCGUUUCCAUGCCCUCUCUCUCUUUCUCUGCGCGCAUGCGUCCGCGCUUGUGUGGUGGUGUGUGGGUGUGUGGUGCCAUGUGAGCUCCCUCUUUGUUCUUGUCCAGCUUUUCUUUGUCCCUCCUCCCUCCCCCUCCAUUCCGCCCGAUGGCUCUCCUCUUUUUUGUUGAUUUUGCAUUUCUCGCUUCUUCUGUUAUUCCCCGAUGACCCCACGCAUUCACACGUCCUGUGAGUGAGUGUGUGUGUGCCGGUGUGGUGUGUAUGCAUCAACGUGUGCGCAGUUACUGUGCAGAGGGGAGCUCCUUUUCUCCUUUCCGUUCGGAUGCUUGCUUGGCUCCUUGUGCCCUUUACCGUUGCCUUGCCUCUUCGGGAACGUUAAGGAUUCUGGAUGAUUGAUGUGCGUACAUAUAUGCAUGUGCGUACAUAUAUGCAUGUGCGUACAUAUAUGCAUAUGCGUACAUAUAUGCAUGUGCGUACAUAUAUGCAUGUGCGUACAUAUAUGCAUGUGCGUACAUAUAUGCAUGUGCGUACAUAUAUGCAUAUGCGUACAUAUAUGCAUGUGCGUACAUAUAUGCAUGUGCGUACAUAUAUGCAUAUGCGUACAUAUAUGCAUGUGCGUACAUAUAUGCAUAUGCGUACAUAUAUGCAUGUGCGUACAUAUAUGCAUGUGCGUACAUAUAUGCAUAUGCGUACAUAUAUGCAUGUGCGUACAUAUAUGCAUAUGCGUACAUAUAUGCAUGUGCGUACAUAUAUGCAUGUGCGUACAUAUAUGCAUGUGCGUACAUAUAUGCAUGUGCGUACAUAUAUGCAUGUGCGUACAUAUAUGCAUGUGCGUACAUAUAUGCAUGUGCGUACAUAUAUGCAUGUGCGUACAUAUAUGCAUGUGCGUACAUAUAUGCAUGUGCGUACAUAUAUGCAUGUGCGUACAUAUAUGCAUGUGCGUACAUAUAUGCAUGUGCGUACAUAUAUGCAUGUGCGUACAUAUAUGCAUGUGCGUACAUAUAUGCAUGUGCGUACAUAUAUGCAUGUGCGUACAUAUAUGCAUGUGCGUACAUAUAUGCAUGUGCGUACAUAUAUGCAUGUGCGUACAUAUAUGCAUGUGCGUACAUAUAUGCAUGUGCGUACAUAUAUGCAUGUGCGUACAUAUAUGCAUGUGCGUACAUAUAUGCAUGUGCGUACAUAUAUGCAUGUGCGUACAUAUAUGCAUGUGCGUACAUAUAUGCAUGUGCGUACAUAUAUGCAUGUGCGUACAUAUAUGCAUGUGCGUACAUAUAUGCAUGUGCGUACAUAUAUGCAUGUGCGUACAUAUAUGCAUGUGCGUACAUAUAUGCAUGUGCGUACAUAUAUGCAUGCAUGUGCGUACAUAUAUGCAUGUGCGUACAUAUAUGCAUGUGCGUACAUAUAUGCAUGUGCGUACAUAUAUGCAUGUGCGUACAUAUAUGCAUGUGCGUACAUAUAUGCAUGUGCGUACAUAUAUGCAUGUGCGUACAUAUAUGCAUGUGCGUACAUAUAUGCAUGUGCGUACAUAUAUGCAUGUGCGUACAUAUAUGCAUAUGCGUACAUAUAUGCAUGUGCGUACAUAUAUGCAUGUGCGUACAUAUAUGCAUGUGCGUACAUAUAUGCAUGUGCGUACAUAUAUGCAUGUGCGUACAUAUAUGCAUGUGCGUACAUAUAUGCAUGUGCGUACAUAUAUGCAUAUGCGUACAUAUAUGCAUGUGCGUACAUAUAUGCAUAUGCGUACAUAUAUGCAUGUGCGUACAUAUAUGCAUAUGCGUACAUAUAUGCAUGUGCGUACAUAUAUGCAUGUGCGUACAUAUAUGCAUGUGCGUACAUAUAUGCAUGUGCGUACAUAUAUGCAUGUGCGUACAUAUAUGCAUGUGCGUACAUAUAUGCAUAUGCGUACAUAUAUGCAUGUGCGUACAUAUAUGCAUGUGCGUACAUAUAUGCAUGUGCGUACAUAUAUGCAUGUGCGUACAUAUAUGCAUGUGCGUACAUAUAUGCAUGUGCGUACAUAUAUGCAUGUGCGUACAUAUAUGCAUGUGCGUACAUAUAUGCAUGUGCGUACAUAUAUGCAUGUGCGUACAUAUAUGCAUGUGCGUACAUAUAUGCAUGUGCGUACAUAUAUGCAUGUGCGUACAUAUAUGCAUGUGCGUACAUAUAUGCAUGUGCGUACAUAUAUGCAUGUGCGUACAUAUAUGCAUGUGCGUACAUAUAUGCAUGUGCGUACAUAUAUGCAUGUGCGUACAUAUAUGCAUGUGCGUACAUAUAUGCAUGUGCGUACAUAUAUGCAUGUGCGUACAUAUAUGCAUGUGCGUACAUAUAUGCAUGUGCGUACAUAUAUGCAUGUGCGUACAUAUAUGCAUGUGCGUACAUAUAUGCAUGUGCGUACAUAUAUGCAUGUGCGUACAUAUAUGCAUAUGCGUACAUAUAUGCAUGUGCGUACAUAUAUGCAUGUGCGUACAUAUAUGCAUGUGCGUACAUAUAUGCAUAUGCGUACAUAUAUGCAUGUGCGUACAUAUAUGCAUGUGCGUACAUAUAUGCAUAUGCGUACAUAUAUGCAUGUGCGUACAUAUAUGCAUGUGCGUACAUAUAUGCAUGUGCGUACAUAUAUGCAUAUGCGUACAUAUAUGCAUAUGCGUACAUAUAGACAUGUGCGUACAUAUAUGCAUAUGCGUACAUAUAUGCAUUGCGUACAUAUAUGCAUGUGCGUACAUAUAUGCAUGUGCGUACAUAUAUGCAUAUGCGUACAUAUAUGCAUGUGCGUACAUAUAUGCAUGUGCGUACAUAUAUGCAUGUGCGUACAUAUAUGCAUGUGCGUACAUAUAUGCAUGUGCGUACAUAUAUGCAUGUGCGUACAUAUAUGCAUGUGCGUACAUAUAUGCAUAUGCGUACAUAUAUGCAUGUGCGUACAUAUAUGCAUGUGCGUACAUAUAUGCAUGUGCGUACAUAUAUGCAUAUGCGUACAUAUAUGCAUGUGCGUACAUAUAUGCAUGUGCGUACAUAUAUGCAUGUGCGUACAUAUAUGCAUGUGCGUACAUAUAUGCAUGUGCGUACAUAUAUGCAUGUGCGUACAUAUAUGCAUGUGCGUACAUAUAUGCAUAUGCGUACAUAUAUGCAUGUGCGUACAUAUAUGCAUGUGCGUACAUAUAUGCAUGUGCGUACAUAUAUGCAUGUGCGUACAUAUAUGCAUGUGCGUACAUAUAUGCAUGUGCGUACAUAUAUGCAUUGCGUACAUAUAUGCAUGUGCGUACAUAUAUGCAUGUGCGUACAUAUAUGCAUGUGCGUACAUAUAUGCAUGUGCGUACAUAUAUGCAUGUGCGUACAUAUAUGCAUUGCGUACAUAUAUGCAUGUGCGUACAUAUAUGCAUGUGCGUACAUAUAUGCAUGUGCGUACAUAUAUGCAUAUGCGUACAUAUAUGCAUAUGCGUACAUAUAUGCAUGUGCGUACAUAUAUGCAUGUGCGUACAUAUAUGCAUAUGCGUACAUAUAUGCAUAUGCGUACAUAUAUGCAUGUGCGUACAUAUAUGCAUAUGCGUACAUAUAUGCAUGUGCGUACAUAUAUGCAUGUGCGUACAUAUAUGCAUGUGCGUACAUAUAUGCAUGUGCGUACAUAUAUGCAUGUGCGUACAUAUAUGCAUAUGCGUACAUAUAUGCAUGUGCGUACAUAUAUGCAUAUGCGUACAUAUAUGCAUGUGCGUACAUAUAUGCAUGUGCGUACAUAUAUGCAUGUGCGUACAUAUAUGCAUGUGCGUACAUAUAUGCAUGUGCGUACAUAUAUGCAUAUGCGUACAUAUAUGCAUAUGCGUACAUAUAGACAUGUAUAUCUGUACGCGUGCCUGUGUUUCGCUUCUUCUCAUUUCGUCUUUCUGGCCGGUCUCUUUGUCUUUGCACUUUUUCCUUCUCGUCCUUCUCUUUCUUUUUGCGGGAGGAGGGAGGGGCGGCUCCUUCGAGCACUGAUGCCCGUCGCCUUUCGUUUGCGCUGCCGUGACGCCUUGUUUUGUGUGGCUCUCCCUUGGCAUGCGCUUUCAACCCUUUGUGUGUGGGUGCGUGGGUGUCUGUUGGCGCUGUGUCUCUUGCACGUCAUCUCUCUCUUUCUCUUUGUUUUUUUUUGGGGGGGGGAUGGGGGGCUUUGGUUUUGGAAAAGAAAGCUGCUUUUCUUGUGGUGAGGCCACAGGAGGGAGGGCUGAUGUACCCUGCGCGUGCGCGCAUCUCCAUGGCCGUCCUCUGUCAUUCCUUCGCGUUGCUCUCUUCUUUUUUGUUGCUUUUUUUUCUUUGGCUCUAUCCUCUAUCUGCACGAGAGCACGUCCGCGCGUGUUUCCGCUGUCCAUGGCAACGCUCCUGCAGACUUGCACGUGGGAGAAGGUGAGUGGUGUUAUGUGUGUCUCCUUACAGUUGCAUAGGAUGACGGGGCUGGUGUGCCGGUGGGGAGCAGGGCACCAAUGGAAGCGGCGAAGGAACUCCUACCAUGGUGCCCAGAAAGCGAAAGAGAGAUGCGAAAGGGAUGCAAUACAGGCUCACGCGACGGGCCGAUGCACACACAAGUGGCAGCGCCGCGUGUUUGACUCCAUGCGAGGUUUGCCGUCUCGAACCGUUACAAGAGAAGACGACGCUGAAAACAAAAAGGAUGGGCGAAGUGAGAUUGAGGAGAGAGAGGAGAGCCAGAGAUAGGAAAGGGGGGUGAGGGGGAGCGUAGCGGCCCUUUUCUUUCCUUCUUUUUUUUUUCUGCUCUCUUCUCUUUCACGGCCCUCGGUCCUUCCCUCUUCAUUUCCUGCUCCUCCUCCAAGCCGCGAGGCUGUUGAACGACGAGCAUCCCCGCCGCUUCCUAUCUGAGUCUCCCAAAUCUCUAUCUUUUACUGUUUAUGUUUUCCUGCGAUCGUCACCGGCGUCUUCGAAUUUUGGAUCGUCUCGUGUUUUUGUGUGGCCCUCGCCCUUCUUUGUUUUCCCUGUGUGCGCCCCUUGUUUUGGUGGCGGUUUCACUGCUUUUCUAUGCAAAGGGCGAAGCACACACAUGCGCAUGCAAGAGGCGAAGCACUGAAGAGCAGAACGCACGAAAAGAGCAAAAUCGAGAGAGAAGCGGUAAUGCCGUGUACGCGAAAAGAAAAAGCGAACAUACGGAUGCAAGGGAGGCUAUGCGGCAGGCCUGCACACACGUUUCAUGACGAGACAGAACCGCGGUAGAGCAAGCACAGACCCCUCUACACACACACACACACGUGAAAGUGAACAGGCCUCUGUGUCUGUGUCUGUGUGUGUCUGCUGCUGCUGCUGCCCUUUCUCCCUCCUCUCCAUCUUCGCUGCGAGCACCGUGGCAGUACUCGGCGCCAUUAUCUGGAGGUUCAGUUUCACUUGUGCCGUUGUCUGUCUGGCCUGCCCUCUCUGCCCGCAAGUGAAAAAAAAAACGUUUUCUCGCUCUUCUAUCCGUCCAGAAGUGCGCUCAGACAGUGGAAGAGAAGAAGGGCCCUCCCCAACACCACCACCACCACAAACGAAAAGAGAAAGAUGCGCCGCCAUGCAUGCUCCCUCUUUCCGCGUCUCCCCGGUGCUCCCAAAGACACAUACACACACCUCUCCUUGUCCUUUUUUCACUCCUUCCACCCACCCCUCGCGACGAACACACCAAUGCAG
rnacentral:misc_RNA from 1 species